GUUUCAGACAGAGACCUGUGCAGUCAGGCUUCAGGCCCAACGUUUACCAAAGAUUCCUCUGUUUCUGAGUGAAGCCUCCAGACUUUUGGAUUGUCUCUGAUUGGCUGAGACAGUCUCCAUGUGACACACACAGUCCACAGUGUGAGCUCAGUGUGUUGCUGCUCUCACAGGUGUCAGUGACUCUGCCCUCAGAGUAAAACAUGGCGGAAACACUAAAGAGAAGCACAAGUAAAGAUUACAUGAUCGACUUUGCCUCAUACUUUGACACAAAUAAACCCAGGAUGAAGGACAUCGUGUCUCAGCUGGACGAGAUCUGUGAAGAAGUGAAAAAGAGGAAAGAUCACGUCCCGAUGAAGGCCUCACAUGCUGCAGUUGGAGCAGGAGCACGCCUCCUGGAGGUCACUAAGCAGUGCAGACACAUUCUGAAGGAGGUGGAGGAGCUGGCAGAACAGAUGAAGCUGGAGGACCUGGAGGAGCUGUAGGGACGGGCAAAGUGAAGCUUCAUGAAUCUCCUGGAGGAGCUGAGGACAAACAUGAGGCCUGGGUCAGUCUGCAGGACCUGGCUUUCACUGAUUCCUCCUGAUUGUGUCAUUAAACCUGUGACUCUCCUUUAUUAGUUUGAGCUUCAGUCAAACCUGUUCAUUUACAGAGACCAUAUGUUCAAUAGUUUGUGCUUUUAUUCGUCCACAUUUAUAUUAUAAUCAUAUCACAGCUGUUCUUAAAUAAAGCUUUUCUCAUAAACAUUUGUGUUG
ensembl:lncRNA